GUUCCGUUAGCUCAGCUGGUAGAGUGUGCGACUUUUACGGAACGCGUCUCCUAAUACCGAAUGCAAUCGCAUGGUCACGGGUUCGAACCCCGUACGGAGCU
rfam:Vitrella brassicaformis CCMP3155 genome assembly, contig: scaffold86